rnacentral:tRNA from 1 species
AUUUUAGUAGCUUAUAAAGAGCAUAGAAUUGAAGGUUCUAGGGAAACAUGUGUUCUAAAAUA